AACGAACGCUGGCGGCAUGCCUAACACAUGCAAGUCGAACGAGACCUUCGGGUCUAGUGGCGCACGGGUGCGUAACGCGUGGGAACCUGCCUUUAGGUUCGGAAUAACUCAGAGAAAUUUGAGCUAUUACCGGAUGAUGUCUUCGGACCAAAGAUUUAUCGCCUUUAGAUGGGCCAGCGUUAGAUUAGCUAGUUGGUGGGGUAAAGGCCUACCAAGGCGACGAUCCAUAGCUGGUCUGAGAGGAUGAUCAGCAACACUGGGACUGCGACACGGCCCAGACUCCUACGGGAGGGAGCAGUGGGGAAUAUUGGACAAGGGGCGAAAGCCUGAUCCAGCAAUGCCGCGUGAGAGAUGAAGGCCUUAGGGUUGUAAAGCUCUUUUACCCGAGAUGAUAAUGACAGUAUCGGGAGAAUAAGCUCCGGCUAACUCCGUG
rnacentral:rRNA from 1 species